ACUCAAAUGAAUUGACGGGGACCCGCACAACCUGUGGAGCGUGUGGUUCAAUUCGAGACGAAACGAAGGACCUCACCAGGGCUUGACAUGCUACCGUACAUUUUUCUGGAAACAGAAAGAAAUCCGCAAGGAUGGUAGCACAGGUGCUGCAUGGCUAUCGUCAGCUCGUGCCGUGAGGUGUUCCCUUAAGUGGGGAAACGAGCGCAACCCUCAUCUAAUGUUACAUUAUUCAUUGGAAACUGACCCAUUUUUAUGGGAAGGAAGGAGAGGAAGACGUUAAGUCAGCACGGCCCUUAUGCCCUGGGCAACACACACACUACAAUGGCGAAGAACAACGAGAAGCAAGCCGGCGACGGCAAGCAGAUCUCUUAAAUUUCGCCUCAGUUCAGAUUGCAGUCUGCAACCCGACUGCAUGAAGCCGGAAUAGGUAGUAAUCGCGGAUCAGCAAGCCGCGGUGAAUACGUUCUCGGGUCUUGUACACACCGCCCGU
rnacentral:rRNA from 1 species